rnacentral:rRNA from 1 species
CCUACGGGAGGCAGCAGUCGAGAAUCAUUCACAAUGGGGGAAACCCUGAUGGUGCGACGCCGCGUGGGGGAAUGAAGGUCUUCGGAUUGUAAACCCCUGUCAUGUGGGAGCAAAUUAAAAAGAUAGUACCACAAGAGGAAGAGACGGCUAACUCUGUGCCAGCAGCCGCGGUAAUACAGAGGUCUCAAGCGUUGUUCGGAAUCACUGGGCGUAAGGCGUGCGUAGGCUGUUUCGUAAGUCGUGUGUGAAAGGCGCGGGCUCAACCCGCGGACGGCACAUGAUACUGCGAGACUAGAGUAAUGGAGGGGGAACCGGAAUUCUCGGUGUAGCAGGGAAAUGCGUAGAUAUCGAGAGGAACACUCGUGGCGAAGGCGGGUUCCUGGACAUUAACUGGCGCUGAGGCACGAAGGCCAGGGGAGCGAAAGGGAUUAGAUACCCUUGUAGUC